UCUCAUCACAUAAUUAUCUGCAGCAAACUCUUCUCAUAUUUUCAUAUAAACCAUUCUGAUAUCUUCUUCUACCAAUUUACCAAAUGCUCUCUCUUCUCUGAUCUCCAUUUCCUAGCUUCCUCAGCUCUUUUUCUACUUCAACUGCAGAUUUCUUAAAGAUAGAUAUUGAAUAGUCACUCUGAAAUUCAUUUCUCUGCCAUUCACUUACAGAUCAGAUCAGAGGCAAAUUAUAAUCUUUGACAAGUUAAUUCUUUCAAUCAACUCAAAGUAGUGUUCAUCUCCGGAUCGAUCAAAGUUUAUAAGCACUUACUAAUAAGCAAUUCAAGGUUCCAAAGAUAAAAAAGAAAUGCCAAACAUCUAUGAGAUUGGUAAUGAUAAAGUUGUGGGUUUUGAGAAUGAAGCAACAACAAUUAUAAAUGAACUUAUUCGUGGGUCAAAGGAGAAAGAAGUAAUUUUAAUUACUGGUAUGGGCGGGUUGGGAAAGACAACUUUGGUCAAGAGAGUGUAUGAGGAGAAAUCUAUAGUCAACCACUUUGACAAAUAUGCAUGGUGUACUGUUUCUCAAGAAUAUGAUUGUAAGGACUUGUUCAACAAAAUAUAUAAUCAAGUUUGUGGCAAGGAGACAGAGACUGAUAGUAUAGCUGAAAAGCUUCGCAAAAGCCUGAUGGGAUGGAGAUACCUCAUAGUGUUGGAUGAUAUUUGGAGUCUCAAAGCAUGGGAAGAAUUGAAUAGAGCUUUUCCCUCAUGUGACAAUGGAAGUAGAGUUGUUUUAACAAGCAGACAAGAAAGUGUAGUUUCUAAUGCUAAACAUAUUUGCCUUCCAUUCUUCACUGUUGAUGAGAGCUGGGAAUUAUUGCAAGUGAAGUUAUUUAAAGGGAAGGAAUGCCCUAAAGAGAUUGAAAAUAUUGGAAAACAAAUAUCUAAAGAGUGUGGGGGACUACCUUUAAUAGUUGGUUUGGUAGCCGGGCUUCUGGGAGGAGUUGAAAAGAGUGAGCAAAUGUGGCAAAAAUUUCUUAAUACUUUAAGCUCACAAGUUGCAUUUAGAGGCGGAAUGCAGAGCAAUGAUGUGAUAGAACUUAGUUACAAGCAUUUAUCACAUGAUUUGAAACAAUGCUUACUUUACUUUAGUGCAUUCAAAGAGGAUGCAGAAAUUGAAGUUUCUUAUCUAAUAGAACUAUGGAUAUCUGAAGGGUUCAUAAAGAUUACGGAGGAGGAGAGAGUAGAAGACAUGGCAAAGCAUUAUUUGAACCAUCUGGUUAGGAGUAACUUAGUAAUGGUUUCUGAAAGGAAUUACGAUGGUGGCAUCUUAUGGUGCGUUGUUCAUGAUUUGGUACAUGAUUUUUGUUUAGCAAAAGCUAAAAAGGAAAAUUUCUUGCACAUAAUUAGGGUGGGAGAUAAAUUGGACCCAACUUUGAAAUUUACUCCAUAUCGAAUAUCUUUUCGUAGAUCUAGAUUUUUUGAAAUUCCUAAUGAAUUGGUACCAUGGAAUUCUUCUGUCAGCACAAUUUUGGGUUACCCAGAGAUUUACAAUGAAAUACAUUUUGAUGUUUAUAAUGGCUCAUGGGUAGCCAAAAAAUUUGAACAUCUCACAAUCUUGAGUUUUGAGUCCAUUAUGAUGGACAAAUCAGUUUUAUUCGAAAUGAACUCACUAAUUCAUCUAAAGUAUCUUGCUCUUUAUCUAUGUGGACGUGGUUCUGUCUCACCAUCAUCACUCAAGAAUCUUCAGUGUCUCUUAACAUUAAAGUUGAGAUCAGAAAAGCAUUUGCAUUUGCCAAAAUAUUUUUUGAAUAUGAAAAGUUUGAGACAUAUGACUAUCCGCCACUAUGGUUGUGAUUCAUGCCCAACAGAACCAACUCCAGCAUGUGGUAUUGAAACAAUUUCUGGUUUAGAAGUCUUACAGAGCUUAGAUUUGCAGACUUUUCUGUGUAUAAGGAGGGAUGAACAUUUAUUGAGGAAGCUUUCCAAUCUCAAAUGUUUGAGUUGUGUGGUCUCAUCUUCAUAUCCAUUUGCUGAUGAAAUUGAAAUGCUGCAUCAUCUUGAAUUUCUCUGGAUACAUAAACUCCGUUUUUGGGAUGUUGAUCCAUAUAGUCAUGAGAAUCCACAUCUUCUUAAGGAUCUUAAACUCAGCAAGUUUCCAUCAAAUAUUAAGGAAAUAAAUUUGGAGGGUAUUACUCUUUCGUCGUCAGCAAUGUCAAUAAUUGCACAGCUCUCCAAUCUUGAAGCUCUAAUACUAGUGGGUUGCAAGUUUGAGGAGGAAGAAUGGAAAGUGGAGGAGGAAACCCUAUUCUGCAAACUCAAAUACCUGGAAUUAAUGAAUCCUGGUAUUACAAUUUGGAAUAUUAGCAGUUCUGAGUCUUUUCCUUGCCUUGAGCAAGUAAUUUUGGAUUGUUGUGUGAAGUUACAGGAGGUGCCUUAUAGUUUGGCUGAUAUUGCUACAUUGAAACUAAUCUGGGUUCGUGACUGCACUGAUACAUGUGAACGGUCCGUGAAGAAAAUUGAGGAAGAUGUACAAGAAUUCGGAAAUGAUGGGCAACUCAAGAUUAUAUUAAGAAUGACAGGUGAUUCAAAUAUAAGUUCUGCAAAUAUGACAGGGCCAGGGCCUAUAAAGAGAAGACAUGAUCGAGAUAUGUUCCGGCAAAGAGAAGAGUUGAGGACAAAAUUCAUGGCUUUUUUGGCUGAAAAAAGAUCCGACAAAGGAAGGGGAAUCGCCGGAAUGUUUUCAAAAAUAAAACAAAUAAAAAACAAAGGAAGGUUAGAACAUCAACAAUAGUGGAUUUUAGGUUGUUCUUGUAGAAGAGGGGCACAUGCACACCACGUACCAGGUUAGAGAAAAAGUGGAAGACACUCCACCAAAAUAACUACAACAAGAACGAAGGCAAACUACUACAAUUUAAAAGCAAUUUACUAAAGAACAACUAUGACUGGAGAAAGGAGCCAACUGGCUCCAGAAAUUAACGAAUCCUCCUAGAAAGGACUUCCUUAGCGUCGCGAGCAAGGAGCGUUAGCAACCUCCCUGGUGGAGUGUCAAGAAUCGUGGUACCCCACGGAGAAUCUUGUCCCUGGUUUGCGAGGAAAUCGGCACAUUGAUUGCCCUCACUUUAAUUUGUAAUCAAUUAUACUUUAAUUGGACACCCUAAUUGAUUCUUUCUUUUAGACUCACUACUAAUUAAAUCACCAAAUAUUUCAUUCAUUUUA